UUUUGAAGAUUGAUCCUUUCUUAGAAGCCAUUUGGUGAUGAUUGAUGAGGCAGGCAUAAAAUCCUGCAUUUGAAGAUUGAUCCUUUCUUAGAAGCCAUUUGGUGAUGAUUGAUGAGGCAGGUGUGUAACCUGAAUUUGAAGACUGAUCCUGGUGAUGAGUGAUAUGCAUUCAUGAAAUCCUACACUGAGGGCUCUAUAAAAAAAAAAUGAUCCAUUCUUAGAAGCCUUUUGAUAAUGAAUGUUUUAGUCAUU